rnacentral:rRNA from 1 species
UUUGACUCAACGCGGGAAACCUCACCCGGCCCGGACACCGCGAGGAUUGACAGACUGAGAGCUCUUUCUCGAUUCGGUGGGUGGUGGUGCAUGGCCGUUCUUAGUUGGUGGAGCGAUCUGUCUGGUUAAUUCCGAUAACGAACGAGACCCCAUCCUGCUAACUAGCCCUCGGGUCCGGCUUCUGGGCGGGCCCGACGGAAUGACUCGCUUCUUAGAGGGACUCGCGGCGCCUAGCCGCACGAAGGGGGGCGAUAA